GAUGAACGCUGGCGGCGUGCCUAAUACAUGCAAGUCGAGCGAACAGACGAGGAGCUUGCUCCUCUGACGUUAGCGGCGGACGGGUGAGUAACACGUGGAUAACCUACCUAUAAGACUGGGAUAACUUCGGGAAACCGGAGCUAAUACCGGAUAAUAUAUUGAACCGCAUGGUUCAAUAGUGAAAGACGGUUUUGCUGUCACUUAUAGAUGGAUCCGCGCCGCAUUAGCUAGUUGGUAAGGUAACGGCUUACCAAGGCAACGAUGCGUAGCCGACCUGAGAGGGUGAUCGGCCACACUGGAACUGAGACACGGUCCAGACUCCUACUGGAGGCAGCAGUAGGGAAUCUUCCGCAAUGGGCGAAAGCCUGACGGAGCAACGCCGCGUGAGUGAUGAAGGUCUUCGGAUCGUAAAACUCUGUUAUUAGGGAAGAACAAAUGUGUAAGUAACCAUGCACGUCUUGACGGUACCUAAUCAGAAAGCCACGGCUAACUACGUG
rnacentral:rRNA from 1 species